AUUACAUUUACCAUCAAAAUCACAUUCAACAGGUAACCUUCAGUACAGCCAUGGGAGGCAGCAGUCUCUGAUGGCCAGCAGCUCAAAGCCGGGUUGAUAAAAGGCCAACAGGCUGGAACAGAAUCUGGCAUUACUUCCCAAGGAUUAUCCUUCGCGAAAGAUGCCUACAACGCACCUCUGGGUAGUCAAGAAAAAUUCAGCUUCAAAUUAAUUUAUCUGAGAGAUCCCUUGAGAGGGAAUGUGGCUGCUGACUGGGAAACCUUAUCUGACAGCUCUGAACUAAGAGGUCACACGGGGCUGGGAAGCAUCUUGAUUGAAGAAUAGCCAUUAUCCUUUACUACGCACUAUGUCAUUUUUUCUCUCUCGAAAACAAAGCUGUUGAGAACAUUUGGUUGGACACCAUAUAGAUCUUUUAAAGUUUGUCCCUCGGUGUCUCAUAAAUGCUGGCAAUAUGACUGCGAAACUGGGAAGAAACACGUUGUGGAGACAUGCAAGUUAGUGAAAAAACAGAGGUGUGGAAGACACACAGGUAUAAAUCAGAUACUGAACCAUUUCUCACCUUCAAUUAGGCGGAUAUGCAAAAAGUUUCACUUACCAAAAUUUACCAUGAAUGCUGAAUUAUUAAACAAACAACCUAAAUUGGAUAUUGAAUACCAAUCAUUAGCACAAAGAGAAAAAACUUGCUCCCUUGAGACGAGACAAUCUAAUCAACCUACAGGAAAUAAAUACUGAAGAAGUUAAAUUUAGUGCUCACUAAGUGCUAUUUUAACCUCUCCGGCUCAGCAAGAUUUAAGAUUUGUCUCAGAAAAACAGUUCUCUCUUCUCAAAUUAACUUUACUCUCAUCCUUUCUUCCACUUUUUUAUGCAAUCAACAAGAAAUAAAGCAACAAAAUCCUAUACUGCAAUUACACUUCAACUGCAAUGGGGCAAAGGACGACCCUUCUCCAACCACUAGACGAAAACUAACACGUACUUUGAAGCCCCGGGUAAUUAUUACCGAUCAUCACUUGUCUGAUUUUGUUUUCAUGGAGGAACACUGCUGGCAGCAGCAAGUUUCUACCCACAGAACUACGCAGUGGAAACCCAAAUUAACAACAGAAUUGAUGGCUUUAAGACACAAACGUCAUCUGCCAGUGUCCUGCCACCUGCUCUGAAGGACCUCAGUGGUGUGAAGCUGAGCUCCAUAACUUUGUGCAGUUAAGACUGUAAGUGAUGUUUAAAUCAGAAAUGUACCACCAUUCGUCAACUGGAAAAGAGAGACUGAGCAAUCAUAUUCAAGAAAUAAUUCUGUCUGGCAGCUCUUAAAUGUACGGAUUCCACUGCACAUUGCUGUGAAGCAAAUAGCGAGCACUUAAUAGCGCAGAUCAAAUCCUGCAGAAAACAAACUGUAUCACAUUCCAGCUCCAGGUAGGAAUACCACUGCCAAAUGCGUGGCCCGGUACCACAAACCUCUCUAGAUGACCUCCAAACGCCGCAGGAAAUCUGUCUGGUGGAUGUCUCCAGCCCUAGGCAUCUAAGAGCCCUGAAGGUCUCCUGAAGGUCAACAGAACAGCUCUUCCCUGUACUAAGAGGAGUUUAUGGAGGGUGUCUAUGGGAGGGGCCAUCCGUCUUGAAGGGAGUCCUGAUGAGGACCAGCUCAAGUCCACCAAAGCACAAUUUUAUUGUGAGCGGGCGGACUCAUUUCAGCUAUUUUAUUCUGUACUGGGUACAAAAAAAGAUACCUUACCCUUUAAUAACCCUUCCCAAAAUUGUUCAGGUACGCACUCUUCACAAACCAUGAUGCUUUCAACUUAACAGAAAUAGGGAACUCCUGGCAUUUCCCAACGCUUGCCAUGGCUCUGGGCACAGCUCCCAGGGCACUGCCACAGAGCAGCAGCUCACACUCCUCACUGCAGCGCCAGUCCUGCUGCCAUUAACAAGACAAGCUGCAGAAUACAGAAGAAAUGCAUACAUGGCAACUGGCAUAUUUGUUGUGUGAUGUUUUGCAGCCCUCCGCCAUUCCUUUGCUCAAAUUCGGUUCUUCUCAAAGUAAUUUGUUCCACCAGCACGCUUCGUGUGCUGCCCAUCAGGGAGCAGAACGCAGAAAAGGCGAUCAAAGUGUUGCUAAACUAAAUGAGACAAAUUACUGGCAAACUGGCUUCUUCAUCCUGUUUUCUCCUUCUUGGCUUUAUUAUUCUCAUGUAGCAAAACACGACAAUCUCAAAUAUCCUUGCCACAGAAACACCAGCUAUUCAGGGCUAAGAGCCAUGAGGAUUAAGCCGCGAACAAAACUAUGCAUCCAAAUGCACGACGUUUUAGACAAAUACACACAACAAGCUUGAAUUAUUUUCACUUGAGUGCUAAGACUGCUAGAAAAUGAAAAAGCUUAAAAAGUUCUGCCGCACUUAUUUCCUUGUCGUUGUUUUACAUAAUUAAUGGAACCUCUGGACCACUUAAACGCUUCAUCACUGCCCAUUUAACAAACACAAAAAGAUGCCUCUUGCUCCGGAGAAAGCCGCUUGGCACCAGCAAGGAAACAGCCCGAUUCAUCCCAAACAAAGGUUAACAACCGGGAAGCAAAAGCAAAGCUCUAACGGAACGCUGUCCCGGCCGCACGAGCCCCCAGACGACAGGGAGCGUUGGCUGGACGCAGUCCCGGCUGAUGCCCGCACACACACGGCGUGACUGUGACUACCCGGCUGUGGAUUGCAGAGCCAUGAGCCCGGCGGGGCGAGCAGUCGGCGUGCCUGCAGAGAAGCCUGCAGAAAGGCCAGGGCCUUUCCACGAGGGAAAAAACCCGCUGGAUUUCAGGUGACAUAAAGGAGCUACCAGCCACGUGCCACUGCCCUCGAUGAAUGCCCUUGUUGAACUCUCAGGAUAAGCAGAGGUGAAGUCAGAAUGACGAGGCCAGAAAUGGCGAAGUGUUACCGGCGCGUGUGAGCAGUUGUGGUGUUACUAAGCUCCGACAUGUGAUAUGGAAAACACACCAGUCUAUCCGAAAUUGUCUCUAAUCAAAAUCAGUAAACACUGAUUGCCAGGGAAUGAGCAAUUCAUAUAAACAGACAUUCCCCCGUAUUUUCACAUGCACAGAGGAUGAUUAUUCACACACUAUUCCACCAACUCUAUUUGAGCAUCCUUCAUUAUGGACCCAAAACUGAAUCCACGCUCUGAAACAAUGGAAAAGCUGCUAAGAAUAGUGCCUGCCGAGAGGGCUGGGAGUGGUUUUAGACCCUACUUAAAUGUUUCUUCCAUCACACUACUUUUGCUGUUAGUUUCAGCGCUAUCAGCUGCAAUUACAAACAUAAAAUAUUGUAAUCCUGUUUAUAACCCAACUCUGCAACAACCAUAAACUCACAAAGCACUGCAAUACAAGUUACUAUCCAAACACACAUAUACAAAUCAUUACCAGUCUCAUCUAGGCUUCACUGCUGAUCGUAUUUCUGCUGCUUUUUCUUUCCCAAGCUCUGUUUUUCUGAGCUCGAAAAUGAAACACUUACUGGCCUGUGCCGCACUGAAUGCCACUGCUUCCUCAGUCACUAACAAGAGGUGUGACAGCUAACGGUUCCAAGGGACUGCCAAAAACUGAUUUGGGGAAAAGAAAGAAGAGGAGCAAACCACUGCACCACCUAUGCUUACAGUUGAGCGAACCACAGCCUUGCCACCAGAUGAUGCCUCAGUGCUACGGUGGCAGAAGGCCACCAAUGUGUUCAUGUAACUCAACAUUGGGAAGACCCCCCCACAAAUUUUGUUUUAAAUUGUAAUCCCAACCUGCUAUCCUGCUCUUUGGGGUGGGCACUGCUCCAAUACAUGGGCCUGUACCUGUGCCUGUGCUAUAAUGUAUUGAUUCUACACGGGUCCUGUAGAAAUUCUAAUUUAAUACCAUCUAUCAAAAUGCAGAGUCAUAUAAAUGCAAUGCUUUAA